CCCUUAGAUGUUCUGGGCCGCACGCGCGCUACACUGAUGCAUUCAACGAGUCUAAAACCUGGUCUGAGAGGGCUGGGUAAUCUUUUGAAAGUGCAUCGUGAUUGGGAUAGAUGAUUGCAAUUCUUCAUCUUCAACGAGGAAUGCCUAGUAAACGCAAGUCAUCAGCUUGCAUUGAUUACGUCCCUGCCCUUUGUACACACCGCCCGUCGCUCCUACCGAUUGAACGAUCCGAUGAAAACUGUGGAUUGAGAGUCUGAGUGGGUUCGCCUACCUCAACUUUCGAGAAGCGGUUUAAAUCUUAUCGUUUAGAGGAAGGAGAAGUCGUAACG
rnacentral:rRNA from 1 species